rnacentral:lncRNA from 1 species
AUUUAUAUCAAUAUCAUAUUAGCAUAUACCAUAUCACUUCUGGGGAUAUUAACCUAUCGAUCCCACCUGAUAGCAUCCCUAAUAUGCCUAGAAGGAAUAAUAUUAUCAUUAUUCAUCAUAAAUACCCUUAUAACUUUAAAUAUACAUUUCACCCUAGCAUUCAUAAUACCCAUUACCCUCCCAGUAUUUGCUGCCUGCAAAGCUGCAGUGGGCCUCGCCUUACUAGUUUCAAUCUCCAACACGUAUGGCCUAGAUUAUGUACAUAACCUAAAUUUACUUCAAUGC